GACCUGGUGGUGUAACCGGUAACGCGCACAUUUACUGUAGGACGACACAUAAUCUUUAAAUGUGAGACCCUUGUUCGAUUCAAGGUCACGUCG